rnacentral:rRNA from 1 species
AUUGAACGCUGGCGGCAUGCCUUACACAUGCAAGUCGAACGGCAGCACGGGUGCUUGCCCCUGGUGGCGAGUGGCGAACGGGUGAGUAAUACAUCGGAACAUGUCCUGUAGUGGGGGAUAGCCCGGCGAAAGCCGGAUUAAUACCGCAUACGAUCUACGGAUGAAAGCGGGGGACCUUCGGGCCUCGCGCUAUAGGGUUGGCCGAUGGCUGAUUAGCUAGUUGGUGGGGUAAAGGCCUACCAAGGCGACGAUCAGUAGCUGGUCUGAGAGGACGACCAGCCACACUGGGACUGAGACACGGCCCAGACUCCUACGGGAGGCAGCAGUGGGGAAUUUUGGACAAUGGGCGAAAGCCUGAUCCAGCAAUGCCGCGUGUGUGAAGAAGGCCUUCGGGUUGUAAAGCACUUUUGUCCGGAAAGAAAUCCUUGGCCCUAAUACGGUCGGGGGAUGACGGUACCGGAAGAAUAAACACCGGCUAACUACGU